UCUCCGUAGGUGAACCUGCGGAGGGAUCAUUACUGAGUGAGGGCUCACGCCCGACCUCCAACCCUUUUGUGAACCACCUCGUUGCUUCGGGGGCGACCCUGCCGCUUCGGCGGUGCGGCGCUCCCGGUGGCCAAUUAUUAAACUCUGCAUCUCUUGCGUCGGAGUCUUAAAGAAAUUUAAACAAAACUUUCAACAACGGAUCUCUUGGUUCCAGCAUCGAUGAAGAACGCAGC
rnacentral:misc_RNA from 1 species